GAGAUCGUACUUCUAGGGAUCAGUCCUAUAGUAUGUAUCACCAGGACGUCAAACAAACAUCAGUUUAAAUAAUCUAACAGU
rnacentral:snoRNA from 1 species